ensembl:lncRNA
UCCAGCUCUGGUAAUGCACAGUCCUUCAAUACUCCUUCUGGCCGCUCUCCUGCCUCGGCCAAGGCCUGCCCCCACGGCCUAGGCCCACUACUUCACCACCAAUAUAUUUGGUCUUUUUAACGUUGAACCACAGAUAGUGAGAUUUUUAAACUUAUGGACGAGUAUUGUUUUCAAUAAUAAAUGUUGUUUUUAUAUUAAGGUUUUUAUAGUAUUUAUUAAUAUUUAUGGAUAAUACUUCUCCAUAUAAAUUAUUAGGGGUAGAAUGGGUAGGAUUAGGAUGGGUGGGGCUAAAAUGAUGUAAUUUAUUAGGGGUAGAAUGGGUAGGAUUAGGAUGGGGCUAAAAUGAUGUGUCUGAGUGGUGGAAAUGGUAGGAUUAGGAUGGGUGGGGCUAAAAUGAUGUAAUUUAUUAGGGGUAGAAUGGGUAGGGUUAGGAACGAAUGAGAUCCAGAAGCUGAAACAUAGUUCAACAUCGGUACAUGCACUGUCCUUCUUAUACUCCUAAUGGCCACCUGUUUUCACCGCUCGAGCAGAGCCCCACAGCCCAGGCCCACAACAACCCCCCGGACAAAGAGAAAUCCUUUUUAAAUUCAUUAUUUAUAAUACAAUAGAUGUAAUGGAUAGGGUUAGAAUAUAUAGGUUUCAAACUAUCAGGGGUAGAAUGAGUAGGUUUAGAUGUAGUGUGGUUAACUUGGUUAAGUUUAGGUGUAGUAUAGUUAGCUUUGUUAGGUUUAGGUGUAGUAUAGUUAACCUGGUUAAGUUUAGGUGUAGUGAAGUUAACUUGGUUAAGUUUAGGUGUAGUAUAGUUAACUUGGUUAAGUUUAGGUGUAGUAUAGUUAACUUGGUUAAGUUUAGAUGUAGUGUGGUUAACUUGGUUAAGUUUAGGUGUAGUAUAGUUAACUUGGUUAAGUUUAGGUGUAGUAUAGUUAGCUUCGUUAGGUUUAGAUGUAGUGUAAAAGAGAAAAUAUAGAAAGAAGAGGAAAUAUAAAAAAUAUAUAAAGAGAGAGCAAUUCAGAUUUAGUCAGGCCUUGCCUCUCUCAGACCUCAUUGAGGCCCCUUGGGUAUAAUGUACCCAAUUUUUUGAUCCAACUUCUCUCUGCCUUGAGUCUAUCUUUUUAGAUCCCAGAGAGAGUUGGCUUGGAGCACCGUGGCUCUGAGAGAGGGAAGGCCGUGGGACAUGAAGUGUCUUACAAUGAAUCUACGUUUUUCUAUUUUGUUUAUAAUGUUAUGAGUAUGCUGAUAAAUUCUCUUUCUAAGUUCAUUCUUCG